rnacentral:rRNA from 1 species
GAUGAACGCUGGCGGCGUGCCUAAUACAUGCAAGUCGAGCGAACAGAUGAGGAGCUUGCUCCUCUGACGUUAGCGGCGGACGGGUGAGUAACACGUGGAUAACCUACCUAUAAGACUGGGAUAACUUCGGGAAACCGGAGCUAAUACCGGAUAAUAUAUUGAACCGCAUGGUUCAAUAGUGAAAGACGGUUUUGCUGUCACUUAUAGAUGGAUCCGCGCCGCAUUAGCUAGUUGGUAAGGUAACGGCUUACCAAGGCAACGAUGCGUAGCCGACCUGAGAGGGUGAUAGGCCACCCUGGAGCUGGGCCACGCUCCAGACUCCUGCGGGAGGCAGCAGAAGGGAAUCUUCCGCAAUGGGCGAAAGCCUGACGGAGCAACGCCGCGUGAGUGAUGAAGGUCUUCGGAUCGUAAAACUCUGUUAUGAGGGAAGAACAAAUGUGGAAGUAACUAUGCACGUCUUGACGGUACCUAAUCAGAAAGCCACGGCUAACUACGUG